rnacentral:rRNA from 1 species
AGCUCCAAUAGCGUAUAUUAAAGUUGUUGCGGUAAAAAAGCUCGUAGUUGGAUUUCUGUUGAGGACAAGCGGUCCAUACCACGUAUGCGUAUCUGUUUUGGCCUUGGCAUCCUCUCUAAAGACGUUUCUGCGCUUGAUUGCGUGGAGCGGACUUAGGGACUUUUACUUUGAGGAAAUUAGAGUGUUCACGGCAGGCUUUCGCCAGAAUACAUUAGCAUGGAAUAAUACUAUAGGAUCUUGGUCCUAUUUUGUUGGUUUCUAGGAUUGAGAUAAUGA